rfam:Arabis alpina cultivar Pajares Aa.chr8_contig_708, whole genome shotgun sequence.
UAAUGAAUGUAGCAUGGUACUGUACACGGAAACUGAACUUAGGAUCGACAUGUCUGCCAUCUCUGAGUUCUUUCUUUGAUGAGACGGCCUGGUUUAGAUCCACAUUC